UCUGGCGGCAGUAGCGCGGUGGUCCCACCUGACCCCAUGCCGAACUCAGAAGUGAAACGCCGUAGCGCCGAUGGUAGUGUGGGGACGGCCCAGUGUCGUGGUAGGAACCUGUCCACAA
rnacentral:rRNA from 1 species